UUUUAUAGAAUCGACGGACUGUGGCUUCUGUUAAGAAUGAGCCUCCUCCAAGAGAUAAUAGAGUGGUUGGUUCUGCACGUGCACGGCCUAGUCAACUUCCUGAACAGUCUUCCUCUGCACAACAGAAUGGUAGUGUUUCAGAUAUAUCUCCAGUUCAAGCUGCAAAAAAGGAAUUUGGACCCCCUUCACGCAGAAAAUCUAAUUGUGUGAAGGAAGUAGAAAAAUUGCAAGAAAAACGAGAAAAGAGAAGACUGCAACAGCAGGAACUUAGAGAAAAAAGAGCCCAGGAUGUUGAUGCUACAAACCCAAAUUAUGAAAUUAUGUGUAUGAUCAGAGACUUUAGAGGAAGUUUGGAUUAUAGACCAUUAACAACAGCAGAUCCUAUUGAUGAACAUAGAAUAUGUGUUUGUGUAAGAAAACGACCACUGAAUAAAAAAG